rnacentral:rRNA from 1 species
CNUUUUAGAGUUUUGNUUCAUGGCUCAGGACGAACGCUGGCGGCGUGCCUAAUACAUGCAAGUCGAGCGGACAGAUGGGAGCUUGCUCCCUGAUGUUAGCGGCGGACGGGUGAGUAACACGUGGGUAACCUGCCUGUAAGACUGGGAUAACUCCGGGAAACCGGGGCUAAUACCGGAUGGUUGUUUGAACCGCAUGGUUCAAACAUAAAAGGUGGCUUCGGCUACCACUUACAGAUGGACCCGCGGCGCAUUAGCUAGUUGGUGAGGUAACGGCUCACCAAGGCGACGAUGCGUAGCCGACCUGAGAGGGUGAUCGGCCACACUGGGACUGAGACACGGCCCAGACUCCUACGGGAGGCAGCAGUAGGGAAUCUUCCGCAAUGGACGAAAGUCUGACGGAGCAACGCCGCGUGAGUGAUGAAGGUUUUCGGAUCGUAAAGCUCUGUUGUUAGGGAAGAACAAGUACCGUUCGAAUAGGGCGGUACCUUGACGGUACCUAACCAGAAAGCCACGGCUAACUACGUGCCAGCAGCCGCGGUAAUACGUAGGUGGCAAGCGUUGUCCGGAAUUAUUGGGCGUAAAGGGCUCGCAGGCGGUUUCUUAAGUCUGAUGUGAAAGCCCCCGGCUCAACCGGGGAGGGUCAUUGGAAACUGGGGAACUUGAGUGCAGAAGAGGAGAGUGGAAUUCCACGUGUAGCGGUGAAAUGCGUAGAGAUGUGGAGGAACACCAGUGGCGAAGGCGACUCUCUGGUCUGUAACUGACGCUGAGGAGCGAAAGCGUGGGGAGCGAACAGGAUUAGAUACCCUGGUAGUCCACGCCGUAAACGAUGAGUGCUAAGUGUUAGGGGGUUUCCGCCCCUUAGUGCUGCAGCUAACGCAUUAAGCACUCCGCCUGGAGACGCAG